GGGCACCGGCGGGGCCCAUCCCACGCCGUUGCCCAGCGAGCGGGAGUCCGGACUGGACAGAUAGUUUGCUCAGUUUCUCCCCUCCUCAGUCCAGGGACCCAUGCUGGGAAAACAGGCCCCCAACUUUCUCACAAUGUUGUGCGCAUCUUCAGGGCCCCGGAGCAGAGAAGGGCCCAGCGAGUGCCAAAGGCACUCAGCUAAUAGAGAAGAUAAUUCCAGGAGAG